rnacentral:rRNA from 1 species
GACGAACGCUGGCGGCGUGCUUAACACAUGCAAGUCGAACGGAAAGGCCCUGCUUUUGUGGGGUGCUCGAGUGGCGAACGGGUGAGUAACACGUGAGUAACCUGCCCUUGACUUUGGGAUAACUUCAGGAAACUGGGGCUAAUACCGGAUAGGAGCUCCUGCUGCAUGGUGGGGGUUGGAGAGUUUCGGCGGUUGGGGAUGGACUCGCGGCUUAUCAGCUUGUUGGUGGGGUAGUGGCUUACCAAGGCUUUGACGGGUAGGCGGCCUGAGAGGGUGACCGGCCACAUUGGGACUGAGAUACGGCCCAGACUCCUACGGGGGGCAGCAGUGGGGAAUAUUGCACAGUGGGCGGAAGCCUGAUGCAGCAGCGCCGCGUGCGGGAUGACGGCCUUCGGGUUGUAAACCGCUUGCGCCUGUGACGAAGCGUGAGUGACGGUAAUGGGUGAAGAAGCACCGGCUAACUACGUG